rnacentral:tRNA from 1 species
AUUUAAUUAGUAUAAUUAAGUACUGCAAGUUUCCAACUUGAGAGUUCACGAGAAUUAAAUA